CCUGAGGAUCAUGAAGAAGUUCAUUUCUAAUAUCAUUUUGGAUAUUUUAAUUAAGAAUGGUGACUAUAAGUAAUUCUUUAACCUCAUUAGUAAGAAUCUGAUAAGACAAAGGCUAGAUAGCUAAUAGAUAAAUUAAUCAAUGUGAGAUAUGAUGGCAUGAUGGUGUUAGGGAUUACAUUAAGAAAUUAGAGAGUAUUGUACCUAAGCUUAGUAGUUUGAGAUU
rnacentral:lncRNA from 1 species